AGCUCAAAUGGCGUAUGUUAAAGUUGCUCUGGUUAAAGCAAUCAUAGUUGGUUUUCUGUUGGGGACGACCGAUCAGCCCUCUGGGUCAGCAUCUGGCUCGGCCUUGGCAUCUUUUUGUGUGAACGUAGUUGCAUUUGAUUGAGCGGUGCGGCGCCCGGGAUUUUUAUUUUGCGGCAAUUAGAGCGUUUUGAGCAGGCAUACGCUUUGAAUAUAUCAGCAUGGAAUAGUAUGAUAGGACCUCGGUUCCAUUUUGUUGGUUUCUAGAGUUGAGGUAAUGAUUGGUAGGGAUAGUUGGGACAUUCGCAUUUAAUGGUGAAAGGUGAAAUGUUUGGAUCUUUUAAAGGCGCAGUAUUGCGAAGGCAUUUGCCAAGGAUGUUU
rnacentral:rRNA from 1 species